UACGUAGGGGCCUAGCGUUGUCCGGAUUUACUGGGCGUAAAGCGCACGUAGGCGGAUUGUUAAGUCAGGGGUGAAAUCCUGGAGCUCAACUCCAGAACUGCCUUUGAUACUGGCGAUCUUGAGUCCGGGAGAGGUGAGUGGAACUGCGAGUGUAGAGGUGAAAUUCGUAGAUAUUCGCAAGAACACCAGUGGCGAAGGCGGCUCACUGGCCCGGUACUGACGCUGAGGUGCGAAAGCGUGGGGAGCAAACAGG
rnacentral:rRNA from 1 species